AAUGAAAUAAAUAUUACUUACAUAUAAAAACAUUAUUCAAAUUAAAUUUAUAGUGCGUAUUAAUUAUUUUAUAAUUUUUUUAAAAUUUUUGAGCCUUGCCUCGCUCAAUCGCGCGCCUUGAGUCUAGGCUCAAGGGACCUUGGCACCUUGGUGCGCCUUUAAUAACUAUGCUUCUAAGAGUCUCAGGUGUUUAUUUCUUAAGUUCAAACUAUGUUUGGAAUUUCCCUACCUACAAUCACAAAAAAUAUUGAGGGAAGGAAAAGUCUAGUGUAGCAAUAAAAACCAACGUAUUUUAAUUAUUUUCUUAGAGUUUGAAAAUGGAAUAUUGAGUAUUUAGCUUUGUUUUAAAGAUAUUCAUGCUCCUUGACUCUCUUUUUCUCCUUUAUGCAUAUAUACAUCUUAAUCUUUUUCCUCCUACAAAGAAAGCAUUUAUACUACCCCAGAUACCAUUGCAUAAAGCCCAGCUCAUCAUAGCAUCUUUGCAUACACUAUUAAGAGUUACAAUUCCUAGACUUAAAUGUGUGAAUUGUUUAGAGGAAAGCACAGAAGAUGUAAGUUUUGCAAUCAAUUAAUCUUUGGU
rnacentral:misc_RNA from 1 species